rnacentral:misc_RNA from 1 species
GUGUUUCGUUUUUGUUUGAUACGUUCUUGACUGUUGUAGUUUGUUGUUGUGCGUCCGAAGACGACAUUGCACAGAGGUUGGUUGGAUAGUUGAGCCGGUGAGGGCGUUUACUAAUGAUCCUUCCGCAGGUUCACCUACGGAAA